rnacentral:misc_RNA from 1 species
UUUUCUCCCUAACUGAUCCAUUAAAAUCAAAUCAAAUCGGUCAAUAUACACACAGCCGCAGAGAAAAGCCGUGGGCCAAAACUGUGAAUGUUUAAUCUAAUUCUCAACGAUGUCCUAUCAACAUACACAAUGGCAGUCAAUUCAUUGAGUUCAACUAUAUAUUGCAGGCCAACCAAGAAACAGAAGAUAACAUGAAGUAGGAAACAAGUGAAAAUCCAGGCACGAGCAUUUAAAACAAAUGCACCUUUUACCCAUUUGAACAUAGCAGUAGACAGGAACCAGCUCCUAAGAAGCAAAAUCGGGGCCAGCAUAAUGUGAAAUUAAUCUAUAACCUAUAAACAUAGCAAAUCCUUAUUCAUGUCUUCCAUAAUACAUGAGAAUAUUGGUAAAAGCAUUAAUCGGCUAUUCUUUGAAAUUUCAUUGUUCCUUCAUCCAAGACCGCCAUAUGCUUCCUUUUCUUUGAUAACUUUGUAGGAUUAUGCAAAACAUUUUGCUCUUCGCUAAAUUGAGCCGCUGUUCGGGCCCUUAGUUCUUCCAAGCUCUCUCCUUCCUUUGCUCUCUCCAGAACCAAAUGUCGACCAUACAGAUGGGUGCUUGAAAGUGCUUGAAGUGCAUUCUGUGCCUCUUGCUUUGUAACAUACUCCACGAAUGCAAAGCCUCUGUGGUUUCCGAAUUUCAUUGGCAACCUUAAGCUCUUGAUCUGCAUUUUACUUGAAAUGAUCAGAAAAAACAUAAUAACUUGGAAGAAUCAACAACAAUCUGAUGCACUUGGCUUGGAAGAAUCAUUUAAUGGUGCAUGUCAGUGAAGAAUCUUCAAUGGUAAACUAUGUUUGAAAUAGAUGAUUCUAUGCUCUAUGUUCAAUUGCCUAAUGCUGCACACUACACUAAGUUCAUAAAGGCAUACCUGUGAGUACUAUUAAGGCAAAUUGUAAAGGAGAUGGGACAGAGACUAGCUCAAUUACUCCUGGCAUGUCCCAGAAUCAUUAAAAAAUUGGCCAAGUCUUAGAACCAGUCAUAAAGGAGAAGAAACCUGAGAUUGUCUACUUGAAACGUUUCCCCAUGCCUAGGUGAACACCAAUUAACUUAAGAUUGAAUUUCACAAGUACCAUUCAGUAAUGAAGAAACUUGUAUCAUAAACAUAAGCACUUGAUAAGGUAAAGGCAAAAGGAAAGAAAAGGCAGGGGCUAAGAACUCUUAACCAUCCUUGAAUAUUAUUCAAACUACUGCUGACAGUAAUUUCCCAUGCGAAUGCAUUCAACUUAGCAAAGCCAACACAUUUUCUCUUUUAAUAGAAAAAUAAAAGACAAACAUUUAGAUUCUUACAUAAACUUUUCUUGUUUUCUUUGAGAAAAGAUAUUCACCUGGCCAAAUGGGCUAAAUAGCUGUCUAAGAUCUUUCUCGGUUGCCUCAAAAGCUACAUUUCUCACAAGUAAUUUUGUAGAACUCCUAUCUUUGUCAACUUUUUUCCCCACUUGUUCAUCCUUCUUGGCAUGGCACAAUUGCAAGAUAAGAGCAUGCCCAUCCAAAACAGUUCCCUGUAAAUCUGUACUAACAUUUGUUGCCGUCUCCACAGUAUCGAACUCUAUGAAACCAAAACCCAUUGAAACAUUCUUCCCAUUUUUUAAAUGCUUCUUUAUCCUGACACUUAAGAUCUUCCCCUCCUUCAUGUGUUCACCAAAGUGCUUUUUCAAACUUUCAUCAGAUGUCUUGAAAUUCAGGUUCUUGACAAAUAAUGAACGUGACUACAGCAUAAUAAAGAGAAUAAAAAAGGAAUAAUACCUGAGAACGUAAGUAGAUAUAUGAGGCAGCACAGCAGUAAAUUCAAUCUGGUAGCAAUCCAUGAUCUUAUAGCAGUACUAUUUGAUUUACAAUCUACCAGUGGCAGUCAUGCAUGAAACAACAUCAAUUUUUGAAAUAAUCCUACACAGAAAAUUUUGGUAAUUUGUUCCAAUAUUAAUAAUCAAGAAUCCUCCUCAAGCACUUCUCACAAGCAGGAGAAAGCUGAAAAUUAGGACUUGAUCCCAGCUGGGGUAAUGAAAAACAAUUAUUUAUGUUUAUGCAUAAAUGUCUGCAUGAUCAGUACUAACCAGUUAAUGUGAUCUUUCCCUUUCUCUCUCUACAAUGGAGAUGGCUGACUUCAUGUGUUCAGGAUUUAUUACGAAUACUUUUAUUUUCGAGUCCUUAUUGGUUUAGAUAACGUUAAUCUUUUAGUUUUCUUUGGGAAUCCAAUUAUCCAAAUACAUUGGACUAGUUUUGGGAGCCAUGCUACUUGGAGUCUAUAGUAUGCAUACUCAAUGCUUGUAGAGCUCUACUAUCCAAUUCAUUCAAAAGAAAUUCCUGCCUUUAUUGCCUUGCCUCUUGAUUUGUGUGAGGAAAAUAUAAUCCUUGUUGUGACAGCUAUUGAACCUUGGGAAUGAAGCCUAAACCUUGAUUUAUUGUUAAUUGAUAUGCAAACAGCUCCCUACAACCUAUUUUCCUUUCACUUUCGCCUCAGCCAUUUUACUAACUAUUUUCAUUCAGCCCCUAAAAUUUGUUUUCCUUUUGCUUCCCUUUAAUUUUCUGCUCCUUCUAUCUUUCACAUAAAUCCAAAACUAAAGAAUCAAUCCUGCAAGCUAUCGUAUAUCACACCUGUUUGAGGAACAUAGAAAUCACAGGAAACAGCAGAUAGGGAAUAGUUGGUUUCCAUUCAAAUACACCAACACCAAAUGCUUCCAUACAUAUGUGGUGAAGAAGAGGAGAGACUGAAACUAAAGGAUUUAUUCACCAACCCUAUAAAGGUUUUAUUCAUUUAAUCUUCUUCCCUUUUGCUACCUAUUUCUUUCCUCCUAUCACUUCCCUUCCUUUCCUCAUAGAUUCUCUAACCAAAUGGAGCAAUAAGCUAGAUAAACAUAAAAUUGUGCAAAAUUUACUAAUGAAUAUACUCGAUCUGACCAAGCGUUAAAUAUAAACUAGUUGAGGUCGAGCAAAUUUACUGCAUCUGUCUAUCAUAGUUGUUAAAUUAAGAUUUUGUGAAUUUAGAAUUGAAUCAAAUUGUAUGAUUUGGUACAAAUCUCAAAUCAGUUAAUGGUUUAUGUCCAUGGAAAAGAAGCAUAAUAUAUUAAAAUCUAAAAUAUAAUUUGCAGAAAAGUCCCUGAGGUUAGGCGAAAUACACAGGUCAGUCCCUGAUGUGUAAAACCCUCAUGAUUGCAUCAUUGAUUUUAAUUUCAUGAACAACUUAUUCCUUCCGUCAUACAGAACAGAAAAGAGAAAAAAAAAUAGUUUCAAUGUCGUCUCAAAAAAGAGAGGGACCUAACCCAGUUUGAUCAUUAAAAAAUUAUUUUAAAAGAACAGACAAAGCUAUGUCAUUCUCCUCCCUCCCCAGGCCCCCAACAAGAAAAAGAAAACCCUCAAAAAUCCAUCUUCAUCACCCAAAAUCCCCACCUUUCUAAUUAGAGAGUUUACCAUCUUUCAUCCUAUUUAAGAAUCUACCUUUUUUUUUUUUUUUAAACAAAAUAAAAUUUGAAUAUUUCUAAAUGCAGCAGAUUGUGUGAUGUCUAACCUUGGAGUAGUUAAGAACCAAGUGUGCUGAUGAAGAAUAUUGAAAUUAAGAAUGCUA